rnacentral:rRNA from 1 species
UCUGGCGGCAGUAGCGCGGUGGUCCCACCUGACCCCAUGCCGAACUCAGAAGUGAAACGCCGUAGCGCCGAUGGUAGUGUGGGGUCUCCCCAUGCGAGAGUAGGGAACGGAACUGCCAGGC